rnacentral:rRNA from 1 species
UGGGGAAUAUUGCGCAAUGGGCGAAAGCCUGACGCAGCCACGCCGCGUGAGUGACGAAGGCCUUCGGGUUGUAAAGCUCUGUCGUGAGUGAAGUAAGCCAUCGGGUUAAUACCCCGGCGGGAUGACGGUAACUCGCAAGAAAGCACCGGCUAACUCCGUGCCAGCAGCCGCGGUAAUACGGAGGGUGCAAGCGUUGUUCGGAAUCACUGGGCGUAAAGCGUGUGUAGGCGGCUUUGUAAGUCGGAUGUGAAAGCCCUGGGCUUAACCUAGGAACUGCAUUCGAUACUGCAGAGCUUGAGUAUGGGAGAGGGAAGCGGAAUUCCUGGUGUAGCGGUGAAAUGCGUAGAUAUCAGGAGGAACACCCGUGGCGAAAGCGGCUUCCUGGCCCAAAACUGACGCUGAGACACGAAAGCAUGGGGAGCAAACAGG